rnacentral:rRNA from 1 species
UACGGAGGGUGCAAGCGUUGUUCGGAAUCACUGGGCGUAAAGGGCGUGUAGGCGGUCCGCUAAGUCUGAUGUGAAAGCCCGAGGCUUACCCUCGGAAGUGCAUUGGAGACUGGCGGACUGGAGUCCCGGAGAGGAGGGUGGAAUUCCUGGUGUAGCGGUGAAAUGCGCAGAUAUCAGGAAGAACACCCGUGGCGAAAGCGGCUCUCUGGAACGGUACUGACGCUGAGGAGCGAAAGCAUGGGGGAGCGAACAGG